ensembl:lncRNA
GGCGGGGCCCCGGCGGCUGCUGCCGAGCGGCCGCCAUGCGAUCAGGCAGUGCGCUGACCGGCCCGGCCGGCCGGCCCCUUCUGGGUCCUCCCUUUGCAGCCCGUGCGGGGCCGUCUCGGAGACCCCGCGCCGACGGCUGCUCAAACAUCAGGGACAUUCCCGUUCACGUCUUUAAUGUUGUCAUUGGAAUGAAAGCACACAAAUAGAAAAUCCGCAGAGAGAGCUCUCCGGCCUCCACUUCGAAAUUCAGCCUCGGGACUGGUUUGCAGAAGCCCCGCGGGAGCUGCACCCCCUCCGGUCUCUAAUUCUGCUGGUAGGUAGGUCGUGCACAGAGCUUGGGCCACACCUACCAGAGCCAGGGAGGAGGCACGAACAGACGUGAACCCUUCGUCUUGGGAGCUCAUGCACAACUCCAGGCCAGGAACAGGGCACCCGCAUUCCAGAGGAAAAGAAUCCUGUGUUCCAGGGUCUUGCGACAUCUGCUUUCUAGAUCUUUCUGGGAUCAGGACCUGAGAGGAAGAGAGAAAGCCACUUGCCACUCCUGUCCCUUCCUCCGUCUUCCAUGCCAGUCCCUUUAUCUCCUUUUCCAAUCUGAAGGAUCCCAGGCAUUCAUAAAAUGAUAACAGAGACGCAUACCCCCGUCACCCAGCCCCGCAAUAGUGCCUGAACAUUCUGCUGUAUUUGUUUCAGAUCCUACGAGAGAAGUAGCAGGAGAUGGUCGCCUGUGGGGUAGUGGUUAAGGGCGAGGCCUCUGCAGUGAGCCUGCCUGGGCUCAAAUCCCAGCCUGGGCAGGGCGCAGUAGCUCACACCUGUAAUCCCAGCACUUUGGGAGGCCAAGGGGGGCGGAUCACCUGAGGUCAGGUGUUCAGACCAGCCUGGCUGACAUAGUGAAACUGUCUCUACUAAAAAUAUAAAAAAUUAGCUGGGCAUGGUGGUGCAUGCCUGUAAUCCCAGCUACUCGGGAGGCUGAGGUAGGAGAAUCACUUGAACCCGGGAAGCAGAGGUUGCAGUGAGCCGAGAUCGCAUCAUUGCACUCCAGUAUGGGCAACAAGAGUCAUAAAAAAAAAAUAAAAAUAAAAAAAUCCCAACCUGACCCCUUACCAGCUACAGGAUCUCAGCCAGAUGACUAACCUCUCUGAGCCUAUUUCCUCAUCUACUGUGUAGGGAUCACAGAAGCACCUGCCUCUGGGGAUUUAGGGAAGGCGAAUGAGUUAUACGUGCGGGGUACCUAAACCAGCACCCAGCACAAAGCAGGCCCGCAAUCAGUGGUUGUUUUAUUGUCACAGUCAGUCCUCGUCCUUCACAGAUCCCGUAUUUGUGAAUUCACCUACUUGCGAAAAUAGGUAACCCCAAAACGGUGCUGGUCAUUUGCAGAAGUGGGUAGAGUGGCCAGAAAAAUUGAGCUGCCUGACAUGCAGGUUCCCAGCUGAGGUCGGGCCAAGCAGCACUCUGAUGUCUUGUUUCAGCUCAGAUUGCAAAGCAGUGUCCUUUUUGCAAUCGAUUUAGUGCCACAUUUUUCAUAUCUUUGUGAGUCUUUUUUUUUUUUUUUUUUUUGAGAUGGAGUCUCGCUGUGUCACCCAGGCUGGAGUGCAAGUGGCGCGAUCUCGGCUCACUGCAAGCAGCUCCGCCUCCUGUGUUCAAGUGAUUUUCGUGCCUCGGUCCCCUGAGUAGGCGCGACUACAGGCACCCGCCACCACGCCUGGCUAAUUUUUUCUAUUUUUAGUAGAGACUAAAGGGUUUUGCCAUGUUGGCCAGGCUGGUCUCGAACUCCUGGCCUCAAGUGAUUUGCCCACCUCAGCAUCCCAAAGUGCCAGGCUACAGGCAUAAGCCACUGCGCCCGACUGACUUUGUGCUUCUUAUUGGUGAUUUCUCUGUUUAAAAUGGCUCCUAGGCCAGAUGCGGUGGCUCACUCCUGUAAUCCCAACACUUUGGGAGGCUGAGGUGGGUGGAUCAUUUCAAGUCAGGAGUUUGAGACCAGCCUGGCCAAUAUGGUGAAACCCUGUCUCUACUUAGCCGGGUGCAGUGGCACACGCCUGUAUCCCAGCUACUCGGAAGGCUGAGGCGGGAGAAUCACUUGCACCCAGGAGACGGAGGUUGCAGUGAGCCAAGACUGCAUCACUGCACUCCAGCCUGGGUGACAGAGCAAGACUCACAAAAACUACAAAUAAAUAAAAUAAAAUGGCUCCAAGCAGGGUGUAGAAAUCUAGUGUUCCUAAGGGCAGUGAGGCUGUGAUGUGCCUUCUGGAGAAAAUACCUGUGUUAGAGAAGCUUCCUUCAGGUAGGAGUUAUAGUCCUGUUGGCCGUGAGUUCAAUGUGAAUGAAUCAACAAUAUAGAUUAAAUAAGAUGUCUUCAGACAGAAACGCAUAUAAGUCAAGGUGAUGUAUUGAUUGAUGGGCGAAAAUAUUGUGGCCAGAGCGUGGCAGGAACCUAGCCUUGUAUUUUCCCCAGGAGCAGCGGCUCAGUGUUCACGGUGACUUUCUAGAACCUCACCACUGCAAAUAGCAAGAAUUGGCUGUAUUUUGUUAGACUGAAGUACCAGUAAAUGACACAGUAU